rnacentral:tRNA from 1 species
GGCCUCGUAGCUCAACUGGUAGAGGGUGCGCUGUACAAAAGAUGUAGGUGGUGCCCGUGCGUGGGUUCGAUUCCCACCGAGGUUA